CAUACUUGGAGUUUCUGAAGCCCUUUGCUUUACGGGGACAAAGGUGGAAGAAUGGGAAUAACAUGGCUACUGUUAUGCAGGCAUCUCAGGAUGAGAUAGACCAAUCUCAGAUGGGAAUGUAGACAUCAGAGCUGGGCAGUUCGACAAGCAGACUGCGAGAAAAAUUACGAGGGGACUGGAAGACACUUCGAAGAGCCUUUAGGAAGCUGGAUGCUGACAGCAGUGGUUACCUUUCUCUACCAGAAUUCAGGUCUGUCCUGAAGCUGUGCAACCUUCUGGUAGAUGAGGAUGAGGUUUAUCACAUUCUGUCUAAAUACGAUCCCAACCUGGAUGGGAGAAUUGAUUAUAAGUCCUUUUUGAAGGAAACUUGUAAGAAAGGGAAACCACCUGCAGCCAAAAAAUCCUCUGUAAGCCCACCAUAAAAUAAUAUAGAAUAUUCCUGUGACUAAGAGAAGAAUGACAUCUGCGUGCUCCCAUCUGUUUAUCCUUUCAGCUAUUUGCUUCUCUUUGGGGUGUGCAUCUUUGCCUUGUAUCUUUUGGCUACUUCUUACUUGCUCACUGUAUUGCAAGUUGUUUUGUAGGGGGAUAAUAGAAGCAUAUUCUGAGAGAAGAGAGCCAAGCUGAGUAUAACACAAUUACUGUACUAUAUUUAAAACACAAUCCACUCUGUUACUAAGGAAACUAACAUUCUGAAAAGGAGGGGCAACGAUGCAGCAUAGAGAGAUGCAAAUCAUUUUUUUUUAGAAAAUGAAAUAUUCAGUGAGAUGCAGGCUGGAUUUUUGCUGCUUAGGACUCCAUGACAAUGGGAGAGAAUUCCUUUGACCUUAUCAGGAGCUGGAUCAGAUCCUAUGUAGGCAUUUAGACAGAAUUUGGCCCUUAAUGUAAACAUGGAUUUCCAUCCUUUUCUUCUUCCUAAAGGAAUAUUUUUAUCCAUAGAUUACAUCAGGGAAUAGGGGUCAAUUCUGCAGCUGCUCUGCUCUGCUUCACUUCUCCGUCACAGCAGUUGUACCUUUAAGAUCAAGCUAUUUGCCACUUCACUUUUGUGGCAUAAAGACAUUUUUAUGAGCAUAUGAGUGAACACUUGAGUUGGUUAAAUAAAUAAAUGGAACCAUUAAAAUGUAUAUUAUUUGCCUAGUCCAGUAUACAGGACCAAAUUAUCUAACUUCAUUACCGAUCCUCCUUGUGCAGAUGAGCACAGGUCCACUGAUUGCAAUGAAACUUGGCCAGCUUUCACUAGGUGUAGAUCUGACCCGGUUUGUCUGCA